AUUGAACGCUGGCGGCAGGCCUAACACAUGCAAGUCGAACGAGUCGCGGACGGGUGAGUAAUGUCUGGGAAACUGCCCGCUGGAGGGGGAUAACUACUGGCAACGGUUGCUACUACCUCAUACCAUUGGAUGUGCCCAGAUGGGAUUAGCUAGUAGGUGGGGUAACGGCUCACCUAGGCGACGAUCCCUGGCUGGUCUGAGAGGAUGACCAGCAACAGGGGAACGGAGACACGGACCAGACCCCUAAGGGAGGCAGCAGUGGGGAAUAUUGGACAAGGGGCACAAGCCUGAUGCAGCCAUGGGGCGUGUAUGAAGAAGGCCUUCGGGGUGUAAAGUACGUUCAGCGAGGAGGCGGUACUCGCAGAAGAAGCACCGGCUAACUCCGUGCCAGCAGCCGCGGUAAUAC
rnacentral:rRNA from 1 species